rnacentral:lncRNA from 1 species
AAUCCCUUGUAAUUGUAUAUGGAUGGAAUUAAAGUAGCUUAUAUUUAUGAUCGUUUCAGGAGGGGAUUUGGACGUGGGAACAGCAUACCAGCCCCGUUAGUCCAGCCUAUACUUGUGAGUGAAGAAUCUAUAUUUUGAAAAAGAAGAUUUUCUUUUUAUUUUAUAGAAGCAUGUUAAUUAAAUGGAAUACUUUAUUUUCGAGAAAUAGUAAAUGAGUAUGAUUGUUUUGGAAUUAUCAUAAAAUAAUUGAUGUGAUUAUCUUACUCUAAUGCACUGAGGGGCUACGGCCGUGUAUUAGAGUCAUGUGUUUAACUCUUAUCCACUGAGGGGCUACGACCGUGGGUAAAGUUAUCCAUUAUAUACUGAGGGGCUACAGUCGUGUGUAAGGGUAACUCUUAUCCACUGAGGGGCUAUGGCCAUGGGUAAAGUUAUCCAUUAUACACUGAGGGGCUACAGCCGUGUAUAAUGAUGAUUAUGUUAUUCCUAUCUUGUACACUGAGGGGCUACGGCCGUGUACAGAAUAUUGAUCAGACGGUUUAUGUACAUAUGAUUUAUGGCUUUCAGAUCAUUAGUAGAUGUUUAAGUGGGAUAUAUAUUUUGAUGUGAAUUUUAAUUAUAUAGUGGAUUAUUAGUCUUCAGCUUACAUUUUUCCCGCUUACAGUUCAGCUUGUGGAGUUUAGAUUAUGGUUUUUAAUUAUUGAAUUGUCUAAUGUACUUACUCAUCUCGAUAUAUAUAUAUCUUUAUACACAAAGGACAGUACAACCAUCUUUUAAGCACUUCACUCACUGGGAUUAUUAUCUCAUAUUUUCCUGAACUUUUCCUUAUAGGAGGCUGUUGACUGAGCGGCGGUGGAGAUUAUUUUGAUAGUUUUGCAGCCAUUGCUACCACCAAUUGUAGGUUCUUUUGUUUGAAAUUGUGUAAUCAUCAAGUAAAAUAUUUACAUCAUAUUGGAGGAAAAUUAUUUUGGUAUUUAUAUACACCAAUGAUCAUGAUGUAAUAUUGUAAUCUAAACUGCUUCCUAUUAUCCUUUUGAGAGGCAGUUUUGAUGUAUAUGUUAUGGAUGUUUUUGGUUAAACGAGCAAAUGAUAGUAUUAUGUUGGUAUUUUAUUGGAGUUUAGAAAGAUUUUAAUUGGUCAAAUG